UUAGGGUUAAAGAGGAGGAUAGGUUAAGAAAUGAAAGGAGAGAGGUUUUUUGGGGAGGGAGUUUAUUUAAGGGUUAGAGAGGGAGCUUCAUGCUUCAGGAAGGGGAAAAAAGACAGAGAAUUGGAUUUUUUUUCUUCAUAGGGUUUUGAGAAGACUGAGGCAAUCGUUGUUGAAGUUAGUGUUCUAAUGGUGAAUCAGGAUUUUUAAUGAAGUGGAUGUGAUUACUCUUGACUGUUUUGUGAAAUCGAAGUUACGUCUGUGAUUGAAGAAUUAAAAGGGUGUCUAUAGGAUUGAGUA
rnacentral:lncRNA from 1 species